rnacentral:rRNA from 1 species
GACGAAGGAUUCAAGCGUUGUCCGGAUUUACUGGGUUUAAAGGGUGCGUAGGCGGAACUUUAAGUCAGUGGUGAAAGCUCUCGGCUCAACCGAGAAAUUGCCAUUGAAACUGAUUUUCUUGAAUACAGUUGAGGUAGAUGGAAUAUAACAUGUAGCGGUGAAAUGCUUAGAUAUCGUCAAGAACACCGAUAGCGAAGGCAGCUUACUAGACUGUAACUGACGCUGAUGCACGAAAGUGUGGGGAUCAAACAGG